rnacentral:snRNA from 1 species
GGGAGUGAUCUUGCUGCGACAUCUGUCACCCCAGUGACCACCAGGGUCGAUUCAGCUGAUCUGGCUGUCUAGGCAGGUGUCACCUUUCUCCCAUGUGCAUCCCUCCUGAAGCUACAAACUCACUCGAAGGGGAAGACCUUCCCCGAUAGAGGAGGACCAUUCUUCGCUCAAGGGUAUAUGAGUAGCUGCAUUCCCCUGGUUGAACCUCCAAACAGGCUCCCAAUAACUUAUGUCCAUUUUUUAUACUACAAUGGCCAUGUAGUUUUUUAUUUUUUAAAGUUUACUACACACAGUAUACAGAAUGCUAA